UUAAUGUGAUGAUUUUGUAGGUUCGAAGUGUUCAAGUAGUGGCUUCUCAAAGAGUAUUUUUAUAGAAUAUGGAUUAGAUCAAAAUAAAGAAGCAAGAAUAGAGUUGAGAGCAGUAGAUGUGUGGAUACUGACUGACAAGCCUUACUCUCAUCAAUCCAUUCAUUCGGUUAAAUGGCAAAUAGAGCUCAAAUUCCCACA